rnacentral:lncRNA from 1 species
GUCCAUGCGAACACAACUUGAGUAGUACUCCUCAUGCUAGCACAUUGAACGAGACCACCACGGAUUGGAGAGUAAUGGACAAGUUUGUUGCAUCUCAGCUGAUCAUGAGUCAUGAGUUAGUAAUUGCUAGUGGUUCCCAUGAUGAAAUGAAUAGCAACAACUUCUCAUCAACCACUACCUCUUCAUCCUCCUUCGACGAUCAGCAUCAAGUUGUGCAAGAGUGUGCCUCAAUGUUGACUUUCCGCCGCGAGAUUGAUCUGUGGAAGUAGUAUAUGAUGAUGACUAGCUACGUAUGGAAACCAAGGGUUACAUAUAUCAUAUUGUAGUAUAUAUACAUACACAUUGUGUACUAAAACAGUCGAUGGAUGAAUAUUAAAAGAAGCGAGUCUCGUAUCCUACGCAAGUGAACAGGAAUGAUAAGCCAGUACCUUGCCGAAAGAGUGAGUAACCAGGCCAGCCAAUUCAUUCACUGAAUAAGAAUGAAUGAAUAUUCUUGUGUAGCUAGGUAGUCGGUAGAGAAACGUAACACAUGCAUGCAAGUGAACAUGAAUGAUAAGGCAUAUAUACGUACCUAUAUAUCCUAGAGUUGCAAAUGAGGAUAGAUGAGUAUAUAUACUGUGUCGAUACAAGGAAACUGCAGAGGGAUAUAUAGUUGUUGAUGAAGAGGAAGAAGAAGAAGAAGAAGAAGAAGCAAAAGAAGAAAGAUUUGUGUGGCUGGAUACAAUCUCACUAUACAGAGAUAUAUAUAAAUCUGCUCUGUCCCCACAAAAACUUAAAGAAAUCAUUUUUGUAACAAAAUG